ACUUUAGUUCUAUAUGGUGGAAAGUUUAGUCGGAAACUCUUUUCUACCGGCUCCGCUUGCCGGCAGAAUCCAUGUGCUGCAUGCAACCUGCCACAUGCUGACACGUGGCAUCAUACACCAUAUACCAUUAAAACAUAUCAUAUACCGUUGACUGACACAUGUACAAACACCACAUACCAUUGACUGAUACCAUAUACCAAUAAAAAUAUCAUUCAUACUGUAUACCAAUAAAAUAUAUCAUUGACCCAUCACAAAAUAUAAUAAUAAGAUGGGCCGGCCUAACACCACGUGCCACCUUCUGCCGGCACCGCUACAUAGCGAUGCCGGUAGAAUCGUCGCUUACCAAGUUUAGUACGUGCUGUUGACAACAUUACCCCGUCCGCCAGAAGGCUAUGGAGCGAACAUUUAGUUUCGUGGGAUGGCAACUUUAGUCUAUGAGGUGGCAUGCAACUUAAGUUCUGUGCGGAUGUCAUUUUAGCCGUCGCACCAUAAUUUUGGUCCCUAUUCAAUUCAAUUCCUAUUCCUAAGUAUGCAAUGCUGUCUCUCAACAUGUGUGUAGUCCAUACGUACCUUGAGCAGUACAGCAUGAGCGGAUGGGAUGUGGUGAAACAUGUCGCCGGCUACAAAGCGCACUGUGUUGCCUCCGGCAGCUUCAUCUGGGGCGGGAGCGUUUUCGAUGACGUGAGGGAGGUCCAAGACGGUGCAGUUGAUGUGCGGGAACGCCCUGGCGACGGCAGCCGCGGCCGUGCCGUCAGCCCCGCCGACGUCCACCAGCGAGGUAAGCCCCUCGAAGACGGCGGGGCUCAGCGUGAGGACGGCGUGCAUGAUGAGUCUUGUGUCCGCGGUCAUGCCCUGGUUGAACUCGUCGUUGAUGCCGGUGCUGGUUCUGGCCAUCUCCCACAGGGCUUGGCCGUGCUCUCGCUCGAAGAAAGACGUGGCGGCUGCGCGCUCGUCGGCGAUCCAAGGGUGCAUGCCGAAGAAGGGAGUCACGAAGGUCCGGCCCAGGAGGAUCGAGAUGAAAGGAAGCUGGCCGAAGCUAGGCGCGCCCCCGUUUCCUUCUCCCCUGACGAGCAGACUGGAGGCCCGGGUGAGCGCGUACACGGCCUCCUCCUCGUGCUCACCGGACGCAGGUUGCUUUCGCUGGUGAUGGAAGAUGCCGGAGACGGUGAGCACGCGCAUGAGCCUGCGGAGGUAGGAGAGGUUGCACGGAGGGAGGCCGGUGGCGGCGAGGAGCUCCGGGAGGGUGGCGCCGCCGCCGCAGCGGGCGAUGGCGUCGGGGAUGCCCGCGUCCAUGGCGCACUUGAGAGCCAUCGACUUGAUGUAGCCCAGGGCGUGGUGCCACAGCUCCAGCUGGCCCUGGAGCAGCUCCUCCGUGCGCUGCUGCUCUUCCAUGGCAGUGCCUCUGUCUAUGUGUGUGUGGAAUUGCAAAACAUGCAAACGUGAGCUACUCCAUAUAACAUGCGGCAGAGUGGUCCAGUUUUGAGCUAAACACUUACGAUGUCGGCAGCCAGAAUCUUCUGGUGGUGCUGAAUAUUCGCCGGUCGGUCAAUGUCCGUUGUGCGCUAAGGUAGCCCGAGAGGCAGGAUGUGCUGUACAUGAGAAAAGGUAAGGAUUGUUUGGUAUGCGCAUUACCACCGGUCAGGCUCAAGAUUCAAGAUAUUUGGAUGAUAUUUGGAUGAUCUGUGUGGAGUUUUGGGUCAGGGUGAACAAUCUCGACCUCAAGAGUCAAGAUCAACACUUAAACCUACUAUUUAUAUUGUCAGGCAUUUUCAAAACCAAAACUCCACACAGAUCUGAUGUGUGAUGACGAUGACUUGGUGAUAGGUGAUCUGAUCUUUGGGGUUCUCGUUCGGCGCAGGCCUUGCAUAUCGCUCCUCCGAAUCGGCGUCUUUUGCUCGCUAGCGAGGGUGGCCGACUGUUUGGCAUGGGCCGGCGCGAGCUCACGUGCCUACGGAGGCAGGUCCCCGUUCUUGGGUGCUUGUGGGGGAGUCGGAGUUGACAGCUCAGGAGGAGUGUUUGCGUGAUGACGACGAUUUCUGCGUGCAACCUCGACGGCAAUCUUCUUUCGGCAGCGUGCGUUGAGUGAGUGUGGGUGGUCAGGUCGCCAAGUGUGGUCCUAGUGCGGUCAUGUUCCAUGACGGUGAUUUGGAAUUUUGUUACGGUUUUUGCCCGGUUUUUUGUUAAUUAAUGAGCAAAUCUAUUCUUCUUAAUUAAUGGAUUGAGUCCAUCGGACUCCGGUCUAAAAAAAAUAUUUUGCUUAAAAAUCAGACGACUGAGAAAUAACCACACCCUUUAUUUAAAUUGUUGAGAAUAUACUCCUGGAGCAAGGUCAGUGACACGUGGCCCUACCCCUCCCCUGUAGAUACUCCAUGACGUCACAUGCACGACCAUAUUCACACGAAGUUUAUCAAAGACCAAAGUUGCUAAGGUAAACAAAGUCACAUAUGUUUAAAUGGUACCCAUUUUUGUUAGCUUUGGUCAAUUCAGGACAAAGCCUUCACCAAAACUUUAGCUAGCUAAAUAUAUUUGACACAGAUGGCAAGCUACCAUCCUAUAUCAUAUCUAUGUACACAUACAAGCCAUUCCUACUAAGUAUUACCUCAAACAUGCAAGCAUCAACAAACCAUCAAUUUGUUCACACCUAUUUACUAGGAGUAUCUUACACAUGUAUGUAUGCAACUUGCCAUGAAGCUAUCUUCACUAAGUACUUUUUUCUACUCAUACAACCAUGUCACAUCCCUUAUCGUCUUGUGGUCUCUUUGCAGCAAGCCGGUAAUAGUUCUACUCAAUCACUAAGUUCUUCAACAAGCAAGAAGGUUGUACUCGGGAAAAAAGAAGAAAGAAACACAAGGAGGUUGGACGCCGGUGGUAGUGCAUGAGAUUGGAGGACAACUAGCUUUGGAGUAGGUUGUGAGCUUGAGGAGGAUGUUAUAGCCCAUUGAGUUUUAUGCAGCGAACCACCGGUUCAUCCAAAAGUUUAAAUUGAUGAGAAAAAGAGCACAAUUCACUUAUAUUUCAAUAGACACACGGUUGUCUGCAUCGUGAAGGCAAAAAUAGAAUUAUGAUAUUGGGAGCAUGCACUCUACUCCUUUAAUAAAAAAGGGUCUCUUUGGAGUGUAGUUUUGAAUAAUGACUAGAACUAAGCACAAUUGCAGCCAUCCUAUAAACGCGUAAGAAAUAGAGUAAAUUAUACAAAUACAUAUUUUAUGGUUAGGGUUUCACGAAACCAUGGUUGACGCUAAUUUUCUCACAAAACCACCACUUUUGAGACAUGUCGUGUCAAGAAACCCAAAUCUACCAAUUUAGUAUGCCUUGACAGUGAUAUCCAAUAGAUGAGCCCACGUGCAAGUGUUGUGUCAUCUCUUAAUGAGCUAUUUACUCAACUUUUACUCGACCCGUUUUUUAUCUCCUCCUAAUUCAGGAAUUGUAUAGGGAUUAAGGGCCAUCGUAGACACUUACAUGUGAAAACAUUGUCAAAACCAUUAAACUGGAAGUUUUACGUCAUUUGAAAAGUCAUGUCCCAAGAGCCGUGGUUCUGUGAGAUAAUUAGUGUCAACGGUGGUUCCGUGAAAUGACACAGAAUGUGUAGGUCUUUGAAAUUUACUCAAAAAAAUAGGAACAUUUGAUAAAAAUACAAUUUCAACAAUCCACUUAUGAUUCGUUUGCAGAUCUAUACAUAGAGGUAAGAGGUCGCACUCUGAAAUAUCUAGAGGAGUAAUGCUUACUAAGACAUGAGUGCCUUCAUCAACCACUCUUAGCCGAUGAGUGAUUUUUCGUACUUAUAUGGUAUACUAUUUUAUUUGUUGAAGCAUAUUGAUCAGCCCCCAAAUCAAGGGUAGAGCUCAAUGAUAGACCGAAAACCUAGGAUAGGCAUAAUUUUGUAAUCACUAAAUCCAGCUUCCACGAAGAUCCUUUUCCACUCACGCUCCUCCCGCUCGGCCCCGUUGAUAAACAUGAUAUACAGAUCAAACAAGGCUUGAGUUUCAUUGCAGAUGUUGUCGCAUGGGUUUGAUCCAACCACGCUAUCUAUUAUUAUCACUUUCCCUCCGCCGUCCCUGAUAGGGAUUGCCUUUUUGCAUUGCCGCAGUAUCUUGAUGCACUCAUCGUCAUUCCAAUCGUGCAGAAUCCACUACAAAACUCAACAAAGAAAUACGGAGUACUAAGCAAAUUACUAGCGAUAUUAAUCAUAGAUGGAUAUGUGUGUAGUACUUACUAGCGAUCACCGUACGUACCUUGAGCAGUACAGCAUGAGCGGGUGGGAUGUGGUGAAACAUGUCGCCGGCUACAAAGCGCACUGUGUUGCCUCCGGCAGCUUCAUCUGGGGCAGGAGCGUUUUCGAUAACGUGAGGGAGGUCCAAGACGGUGCAGUUGAUGUGCGGGAACGCCCUGGCGAUGGCAGCCGCGGCCGUGCCGUUAGCCCCGCCGACGUCCACGAGCGAGGUAACCCCCUCGAAGACGUCGGGGCUCAACGUGAGG
rnacentral:lncRNA from 1 species